rnacentral:hammerhead_ribozyme from 1 species
AUCCAUGUGACGAGUUUCAAAUAGAACGAAACGCUCGUCGUGGAU